AUUGAACGCUGGCGGCAGGCCUAACACAUGCAAGUCGAGCGAGCGGCGGACGGGUGAGUAAUGUCUGGGGAUCUGCCUGAUGGAGGGGGAUAACUACUGGAAACGGUAGCUAAUACCGCAUACCAUCAGAUGAACCCAUAUGGGAUUAGCUUGUUGGUAGGGUAACGGCUUACCGAGGCGACGAUCCCUAGCUGGUCUGAGAGGAUUAGCAGCCACACUGGAACUGAGACACGGCCCAGACUCCUACGGGAGGCAGCAGUGGGGAAUAUUGCACAAUGGGCGCAAGCCUGAUGCAGCCAUGCCGCGUGUAUGAAGAAGGCCUUAGGGUUGUAAAGUACUUUCAGCGGGGAGGCGUUACCCGCAGAAGAAGCACCGGCUAACUCCGUGCCAGCCGCCGCGGUAAUUC
rnacentral:rRNA from 1 species